UACGUAGGGUGCGAGCGUUGUCCGGAAUUAUUGGGCGUAAAGGGCUCGUAGGCGGUUUGUCGCGUCGGGAGUGAAAACCCAGGGCUUAACCCUGGGCUGGCUUCCGAUACGGGCAGACUAGAGGUAUGCAGGGGAGAACGGAAUUCCUGGUGUAGCGGUGAAAUGCGCAGAUAUCAGGAGGAACACCGGUGGCGAAGGCGGAUCUCUGGGCCGUAACUGACGCUGAGGAGCGAAAGCAUGGGGAGCGAACAGG
rnacentral:rRNA from 1 species